CCUGCCGGCCGCCGUGGGGCAGGACGCCGCCGCUGGAGGCCUGGGGCGUACCUCAGCCCUCUCCAGGGCUCCGGAAGCGGAAAACGCCACGUGGAAUAGUCCCCGGACUUCCAGCUGAUAACGCAGUUUAAGCGUGUGUGAAGAAUGGCUGUGACUCAGAGCUCUCCGGUGGCAGAGAGCUGUCUGGAAGAUGCAGCCCUCAGGUAAUGGCCCUCACCGGUGGCCUUCGUUUGGGAAAUCCCCCGAGUUUUGCACAGUGUGGCCUGUGCCCGCAGAGAUGUAAAGGAAUAACCUGCACAUGAGGCCCAGGGAGAGCUCGGGAGCCUUUUGAGGUGGGGGCUUGCUGAAGCAGCAGCUGUCGUCAGAAGAAAAGGAAUAAGGUGUUCGUGCUGCUUUGAAGAUCCCCAUUUGAAAGAGAUCUGAGAAGAUGGGAACUUACAGUCCGCUCUUUGAAUGCAACUGCUAGAGAAGUACUUGUAACCUGACACAUCAGAGGUGGUUGGGAGCAAGGUUUAACAAAAAUUACAUAAACAAUUUGUUAAUUGUUAAUCCCUUCUCAUGACUUGUUUAAAAUGGUAUUUUUUCAGUGACCUCUAUUUAUUAAACUUCUUUAUAUUUAA